rnacentral:rRNA from 1 species
AACGAACGCUGGCGGCAUGCCUAACACAUGCAAGUCGAACGAGACCUUCGGUCUAGUGGCGCACGGUGCGUAACGCGUGGGAAUCUGCCCUUUGCUACGGAAUAACUCGGGGAAACUCGUGCUAAUACCGUAUGAUGUCGCAAGACCAAAGAUUUAUCGGCAAGGGAUGAGCCCGCGUAGGAUUAGCUUGUUGGUGAGGUAAAGGCUCACCAAGGCGACGAUCCUUAGCUGGUCUGAGAGGAUGAUCAGCCACACUGGGACUGAGACACGGCCCAGACUCCUACGGGAGGCAGCAGUGGGGAAUAUUGGACAAUGGGCGAAAGCCUGAUCCAGCAAUGCCGCGUGAGUGAUGAAGGCCUUAGGGUUGU